UACGAAGGGGCUAGCGUUGUUCGGAAUUACUGGGCGUAAAGGCGCGUAGGCGGCUCGGCAAGUUGGAUGUGAAAGCCCAGGCUCAACCCUGGAAUUGCAUUCAAGACUGCCUUGCUUGAAUUCGGUAGAGGUUGGUGGAAUUCCCAGUGUAGAGGUGAAAUUCGUAGAGAUUGGGAAGAACACCGGUGGCGAAGGCGGCCAACUGGACCGACAUUGACGCUGAGGCGCGAAAGCGUGGGAUCAAACAGG
rnacentral:rRNA from 1 species